GGUAAAAUGGCUGAGAUUAAGCGAUAAAYUGUAAAUUUAUUUACGAAUAUAAGAUUCUUUUAUCA
rnacentral:tRNA from 1 species